rnacentral:rRNA from 1 species
UACGUAGGGUGCAAGCGUUAAUCGGAAUUACUGGGCGUAAAGCGUGCGCAGGCGGUUUUGUAAGUCAGAUGUGAAAUCCCCGGGCUUAACCCGGGAACUGCGUCCGAUACUGGCAGGCUUGAAUCCGGGAGAGGGAUGCGGAAUUCCAGGUGUAGCGGUGAAAUGCGUAGAUAUCGGAAGGAACAUCAGUGGCGAAAGCGGCUUCCUGGACCAGCACCGACGUUCAGGCACGAAAGCGUGGGGAGCAAACAGG